UGAAUGGCAUAGAUCAAGAUGAUAACAAGUUCAAAAAUUUAACUUCAGUGCCUUCUUGGGGAUCUCAGGACUUCGAUCUUUACAGAGAUAUAAGACAUGGUUCUUUCUAUACAGACCCAAAAUCUUCAGCCAAAACCAAGAACAGGACGUGGGAUGCACCUGUGAAUCCAGUUGCAUCAUCUCAUGGCCGUCCUGCUCCUAAGGACACUACCAUAGUUCAAACUGGAGUAUCAUUGAGUACUUCCCCAGAAGUAGACAAGAAUUCAUAUUCUUCAACUGGAAAGCAGGAUCCGCUUGAAUCUGAUCCUUAUAAUCCAAAAGAUUCUUCUCAUGCCAAAUCAUCUUCAUCCGAAACAGACACCAAACGGGCCAAGCAGUAUGUUAACUCAACUUGACAUUUUACCUGAUAAGUUACAGCAAUUGACUUUUUAACGUUCUUUGACCUUAUUGUAGCCAUCUGCUGUCUUUGCAUUUGAUGCAUGCUUGUCUUGGGUUUGGGAGGACACCUAAAUAUGUGGAUUUCUUUUAAUCUUUGAGUCCUUGUUUAGUAAGAUCUAUACCAUUAAUAUGAGGCUAUUCAUGUGAAUGAUACAAAGUUAUGUUCGGGGAUUUAAUUUUAAUUGCAUUAGUUGUGGGUUAAGCCUAGCUUUAUAUCAAUCUGCUUUCCAUGAACCAUCGUGUUAGAUCACCACGAAUUUACACUGAAUAUGGCUUAGAUUGAACUUAAAUGCAUCAUUUUUAAGCUUAGAAUAUGUUUUUGAAUCAUAAGAUUUUAUGACGUGGUACAUAAAUAAAGCCACGUUUGAAAUCCAUUCUAAGCCUAUUUUUCAUGUAAAAUCAGUUACAAUCUAAAUUGUGAGUUUGAAUUAUUGUCACAAUAUUCUGAAGACCUACUCUUGAAAAUCUUGUUCAUCUGCUUAUAGUUAAAAUGAUUUUUAACUAAUUUUAUAACUUUAUUUACCUUUUCUUUUAUUUUAGCUUUUAGCCUGUUGACUCUGGAGAUGAUAUUUCAUCCCCAUACUGCCCCAUAAAAAAAAAUUGGUUUCUUAUAAUACACUAGUUAGAAUCUCAGUAUCCUUGAUAUUUGUCUUAUUAACUGUCUUGGCCUAUUGGUUAUGGUGAUAUGUGCUUUGUACAUAUUGAAAGCUCUACUGAAUUAAACUGAAAUAUUAAUCACAAUUCUACGCAUCAAUAUAAUAUUCAGGAUGCAGAUAUGAUGUUGUAAUGCAUGGACACUCUUAUAGAAUAUUUAUACUUAGUGAUACCAAUUCUUCUCCCUUUUAAUUUAAAUGAACUUAUCGUGUAUAAUUUUACUUUCACAAUAAAAUUCCACAUUGUGUCCUGAGAACUUGGUGCCGUUUUUGUGUCUUCUCAUUACGUCUCACUCGAGCAUUUUGAUAGUAAACUACAAACUUUGGUAAAUAAUUAGUGUUUCAGUAAGCUUUAAACUUCAUUUCUAAUGCAGGCAGUUUGCUCAACGUUCACGGGUCCGAAAACUUCAAUACAUCGCUGAACUGGAAAGAAACAUGCAAGCUCUACAGGCAGAUAUUCCCCCUCUGAGAAAUUUUAGUAUCGAUCUUACCUUGACAUGUUACAUCUCUAAAAUUGCUGAUAUCAACUUUGUUGUUUAUAAAUAUAGGCUGAUGGUUCUGAAGUUUCUGCUGAGCUCGAAUUUCUCAACCAACAGAAUCUUAUACUAAGCAUGGAGAAUAAAACCCUGAAGCAACGAUUGGAAAGUUUGGCUCAAGAGCAGCUUAUAAAGUACUGUAAGUUUUUGUCCCAUAAGUUAAUUUUCCAGGUUGUUAGUUUGUUAUUUUGUGUUAAUUAGGCAUAACUGGGGAAAGAAAAUCUAUUUUUACACAGUAGGUCUUGGAAAGGAAAUUGAAAGAGUAGGUGGAUAAUUUGGGCUUUAAAACGUGUCUUCAAGAGGUUUGAUAUGAACCUUGAUUUAAUUUCAUAUGUCAGCAUCAAAUAUAUGGGCAUUGUAUAAGAUAAUCCUAGCCACCCCAGGUUGAUGGACUCUCUGUAAAGACUGUAAUUGUAAUUAUGCACCAGUCCGCAAAUUAUAUCAAUUUUGAUUUACUCCGUAAGUAAAGCAUAAAAUUAACACAUUUUCCCCUCUGAUUAGAUAUGAAAAAGUACUGCAUCAUGCCCACUAGUGUUAUCAUUAUUGAAAAAGUACAUGUCAAUGUGUAUUUCGGAUCAAGUUUAAGAACAUAGCAAACCCACACUUUAUUCUGACUUAGGUUCCUAGUAUAUGUUCUACAACAGUACUGCUUCUUUUAGCUGUCUGACGGUAGGCACUAGUCUGCUGCAUUAACUUGUUUCUGUUCAGAUAUAACUAAGACCUUUGUUUUAGCUGUCUGACGGUAGGCACUAGUCUGCUGCAUUAACUUGUUUCUGUUCAGAUAUAACUAAGACCUUUGUUUUAGCUGUCUGACGGUAGGCACUAGUCUGCUGCAUUAACUUGUUUCUGUUCAGAUAUAACUAAGACCUUUGUUUUAGCUGUCUGACGGUAGGCACUAGUCUGCUGCAUUAACUUGUUUCUGUUCAGAUAUAACUAAGACCUUUGCAUAGUCAGGGAUAGAAUAGUGAAUUUUGAAAUACAGAUUAUUAUAUAAUUGUAAAACAUUGGAAAGCUAGCAUCACGUUGGUUUUGGAAUUGACUUGUAUUAGAGAGUAGCAAUUGGACCGCAGAAAGUUUUCCACUCUUAAGAUUUCUCUGAACUAAAUUUGCGGAUGUUGUUUGCAGUUGAGCAUGAAGUAUUGGAAAGAGAAGUCGGAAGAUUACGAGCCCUGUAUCAGCAGCAGCAGCAGCAACAGUUUUCAUCUAGCCAUCGACGUGCUAAAAGCCGAGAUCUCGACCAGCAAUUUGCUAAUCUUUCACUGGAACCCAAGGAAGCAAGUUCUAACAAUGAUACACCUUCUGGGUAUAUCUAGUGUGAGUUUUUACGGUGCCUCCUAAUCAUUCCUUGACUGAUGUCUCCUUGCCUUGCCAAUGACAAAAAUCGAGGUUUCCUUUCAUGGGAUCAAGCCGCAUUCUUCCACUCCUGAGGCUGGACCUCGUUGCCCGGUUUGUUUAUCUUAUGCUAUUCUAUUAUGUUCUUUGUAAUGUUAGAAUUUUUCAAUUUUCUUUAUUAAAAGUAGCGUCGCCAUGUGCGCCUGGUAGUCUGUGCCGGAAAAUAGUUGUUCUGGUGGAUGACUCUCCUGAGGUGGUUCUUCCAAACACGAUUGAUGUUAAUGACCAUCCCUGUAUGUCUUUAAGUGAUUACAUUUAUAAAUUUCCCUUAACGUUCUGCCUGAGGGAACACUGCCAUUAGACUGGAAAUUGGUUUAUGAAAUCUAACAAUUGUUGAUUACGGGUACUUAUUAGUCUCAAACGUUUGUCAAGAAUUGGUGGAAUCUUAAUGAACGAGUGAACGACCAACGUAUUUCAAAGACAUGACAGGUUAGGUACAUAGUAUUUGACACUAGUUUUAGCUCCUCUCUCCUGUAAAAUUGUCCUGUCCUGCCUUCUGGGUUCAUUCUCUCCCUUGUACUUACAAAAAUUGAUGACAUUUUAAUUUGAUUUCAAUAAGAUAAUUGUACUUUAAUUUUGAUUGAUUGGGUAACUACAUUUUAAUUUGAUUUCAAUUGGAUAACUGUGUCCAAUUCCCUCACUUGGCCUAACGAAAAUUGAUGACAUGACAUUAAAAAAAUGAUGGACGUCAUUCAUCUUAGUGACGAUUGCUAUUGAACCAAAGUAUACUUGCCGUGAUCAGAAUUUUUUAUUUUAUGACUCAAUUGAUGCUAUCUUUUUCAUAUUUAUACUAAUAUACUCAUAACUUAGUUUCCUCGAGACCAUGCCAACCAAAGCACCAUUCGACAUUUCACAAUGUCAAAUAGUAGUUGAAUUGAUAUCUAGGACUUCAAUUUUUUUUUAGUGUAAUACGGUAUACAUCAAGUGUUUGUCCUCGACCCCAUACGAGAAAUGAGUAUGCAAACUUUCAUAACGAUAGGAAUCAUCAAGAACGGCAAAGUGAUACGUACGGGUCGAUGGAGACCUGUUGAUGUCGAAUGCAAUCUAAUGACACUCAAUUGUCCAUGUGAGCAGUUGUGCUAACUCAUUUUUAUUCAACUCUUGUUUGGCUACAAUUUCUUAAUAUUCAUGUUUUUUCAAGUUUAUUUUUAAACAUACAUUUUACGAAAUUCACAACUUUUAUCACUAUUUCUACCACACAUUUCAUCAACUUUUAUCGAUAUUUACUAUCCAAUCUAAUUUUUAUCAAACCAGAUGGGGCUCUCUGAAAUGCAGAAUUGACAAAAGACAUUGUCGAUCACUCAACUACUUAACUUGGUUUUACUCUGCUUAUUUUACGGAAUCUAGAAAUUUAUACAGUAGUAAUUCAACAGCGUAUGCAGCUCUGAGUAGUACAAGCGAAAUAUGCUCAUAAUAUGGCAAAAACCUAAUUACGCUUGUCCUCUCCUCAAUCCUUAAAUGUAAACCAAAUCAUACAUGGAAACAAUUAUCCCUUGAUCUGCGGCAAAUGAACACAUCAACCCUAAGCAUGACAAAGCAAAAGCAGUUUGUUUCCAAUAAAAACUCAAGCAUUAAUAAACUAGCAGAAAGUCGAAAAAAUAUAUAUAUAAAUGUUACAACAUCUCUUGUAGUAGACAACUGAUGUUAUGUAUGUAAAAUUCAGUAAGGCCAUAUUGAGAAGAUGGCCGGGUCGACUAAUUCCUCAAUGCUACCCACUUUUUUGGACAACCUUCCCACCUCCAGAAAAUUCAGAAUGCCUUAAAUGACGCAGGGUAGGGGAUACCAUAGAAGCAACUGUGCCUUUAAAUGCUGAUGUUUAUGGUUCCCCACCAGACAAUCCUAGCCCCGUCUGCUGGAACGUUUCGGACCGAUAUCCUCGGACAAAUGACCAACCCGAAUUUGUUCAAUUUCUAAACAACAAUAAGGUGCUUCAAUGUAAAUAUUUUCCCUUUCUUGAGUCUUUAUGCUAACGAGCACUUCCUUGUUGAUUAUGCCUUCCUUGAUAGGGUGAGUAAUCCUAUUGUUGAUAAUGGAAUUCCAUACACUAAUGUCUUCGAUGCCAACUUCGACACCAUGGCGGCAUCACUCAAAGCUGUUGUUGGGUUUGGAGACAUGACCAUUAUUGUUGGGGAGGUGGGAUGGGGACAGGAAUGCCAAUUUAAAUUUUGCUUUGAGGUUCUUUUUACCUAGACUUGCAGCCAAUAAAGGAUCCCCUGUUCAAGUUUAUUUGUUUGGACUUAGUGAUGACGAUGCCAAGUGUGGUGGGAGUGAAAAAUAAAGUUUUAAAAAUUUGGUAUUGUAGGUAACACAUAUAAAAAAAUUUAAAUUUAAUUUCAAAAAAAUAAAUAAAAAGUUUGGGUACUGAAAUUACAAUUAUUCCCUUUUAAUUUUAGCAUUUUUUUUUACUAUUUUUAAUGGCAAAUCUGACGGAUCUUAACAGUAUGGGGUUUUUUCGCACAAAAUAUUUCAAACAAGAUGGUUUUCUGUGACUUUCAAUAAGUAGAGGAGUAUAUCACACAUGAAAGUGUUUUUAGAUGGUAUUAUGCUAUUAGUCCUUUAAAAGUGAUAAUCAUUGAUUGUCGUACCUCAAUUUCUUUAGAUGAAUUGGACGAAGUUAUUUUAAUUGAAAUCAAAUCAAAAUAUAUUUAGCUAAUUGAACAAAAUUGAAGUACAGUUAUUUGAUUGGCAUUCAUUGAAAAUAUAAUUAUCAUGAAUUUUAUCUGUUCGUAACAAUGAAUAGAAAAUCAUGUCAUUACAAGUUAACUAGCCUAAUAUGUGAUUGUACUAACAAAUAAUACUACUAAUAGUAAGUGAGUUUGCAAAACUAGUAUCUUCUUUAGGGAGUUGGCAUAGUCCAACCAAAUUCCUCUUUUCAUAGUGAAGUUGUGGGGUUAAAGCUUGCCCAACUUCAAAUGACUAUACACCAAAGAUUGGCCUAAGCUUAUCCAAUGUAAAACUCUUGCCAAGUGAGUUAUAGACCAAGCAAAUAUCCUAUGGUGAAAAAGAAAUAUAAUUAUAAAAAAAUGUUAUUAAUGUGAAUAUUAAAAGACACACAUUAUACAAAUUUUUCUUGUCCAUUCCAUAUAUUGUGUUUUCGUGAAUAAUUUUUUUUUUCAACGUUAAAUUUGUUUAAAUACUCUCUUCAUUUACACUUCUAGUAAAAAUCAAUAUUAUGUUGCUUCUCUCUCUACAAUUUCGUGUCACCUUUGCAAUUGAUAACAGUAAGGUACAUGUUUGGCAAAACUUAAAUUAUUCAAACUUAUAUUUUAUCCACACAAUUUGUAAGAUCGACAACUACUAUCAACUUAUUAUUCAGAUAUUUUGUAUCACCACCACAACUUAUAAGAAUUAAAAGAACUCCCAAAUAAGCUCAACAUAGGAUUCAAUAGUGUGAUAUACAGAAUUUGGAAUUUUUUUCUUUUCUAAUAAUAUCAAAUACUCUUCAAUCCAUCUAAACAAACAUGUCAUAAAUAGAUGCUUAUGAUCAUCAUAAAGGGGGCUUGCCCCGUUUAUUUUUUCUAAUUCAUUUUAUAGUCCACAUUCAUUAAACUGAGAUAAUAAUAUAGGUAUUAAAAUUUUUAAUUAAUUAAUUAAUUUUUAAAAGUUAAAUUAUUCGAAUAUAUUUGUUAAACUAUGAUUUUUAUUGUUUAUCAUAUUUUUUAGAUAAUCUUAGCUGUCAUAUCUUAUUAGAAUUAUUGAAAUUUUGUGGAAUUUUUCAUUUAAAGUAUUAAAUUCUUAAAAAGAAAAUUAAAUGGGACUAGCCCUUGUUACUCGUACCCGCCCGGUGGAAAUCCCCCACCUGUACUCGACUCGAAUAUCCAAUUAAACGGAUAGUUUUCACCCUCCGUUGGUAUCGAGUUUGAUGAAAUUUUUUGUCAUCCUUAAAUUCCCUUCUCUUAUGCAUGUGGAACUUUUGAUUUUAAGUUAGGACUAAUUAAAAAGAAUUCAAGAAUCCUUUGGGGUUUAUUUCAAUAUGGAAGAAUAUUGGGGCUGAAAUUGUAAAAUACUCCCCAAAUGCAAUAAAACCAAUAAAACACCACAUAUUUUAGGCUGGCAUAAGCUCAUUCCAAGGAAUGGCCACACUUUCACCUCAAGACGUCAACUAUCCAGGUAGAUAGAAAGAGAAGACGAAGAAGAAACCCUAAAAACAGAGCUUAUUAAGUUACUGAUUCUUUACAUAUUUCUGGGUUCGUUCUGAAUCAAAUUGCCGAGAUCUUUAUUUAUUAUUCUUAAUUAAGGUAAGUUAUUAUUUGAUUAUGUAAAUCUUUCUACAGUAUGUGAUGUAAGAAUGUAUAUUAUUGUUUAUUGGUUUUUAUUUUUUGUUUGAUUUCAGUGUAGUCUUUGUGGGCAAUGAGAAAAUGUGGGUAGGAUGAAACUGUUAUAUGUAUGUGUGAGCUAUUGUGGACAGGGUGACGAAGGAAUAGUUGAUGGAAAUUAAAUCCGAGAUAAUUUAAGGUAGCGUGAUAUUGGAAAAGGAAAUAAUAUUUAUAUUUCUUAUUCCGGAUUGAUACAGGUUAACUUGACAAAAAUUGUUUGGCUGGAAUUAAUAGUGAGAUUCUGUUCAAAUUGUGUGUAAAAGAUUUGAGCUUUAAUAAAUAUAGAAGUAACUUGUAUAAAUGUCUAUCAGUAAAUUGUUGUGCGACGUGUUAUGAAUGGGAUUGUGAGUUUGUAAGUUUUCUACGUCUGUUAACUUAGUCUUCAUUUAAAGGAAAAUCACAAAAUCAAGUUUGAGGAUUGCUAAUUACUGGGCAUGAAUCAGUUAAUUGUAUCUGUGAUGCUAAUACUAUGCAGUAGAAUGUUGCAAUUGGCAAUGAUGACAGUUAAAUAUGUUGUAGUACACUAUUGAUGUUUAUUUUUUUGUGAUUAGAAUUUGGGUGAUGGGGAGGCUGUUAAGUGGUGUUUAUAUGAAAAAUGGAUGGAUUAUGCUUUGCUAGCCUUUGACAUUUCCAUGAUCAUUCAAGCUAAUUAGGAUUUGGAUGGCUGAUCAAGAUUCUUUCUAUUUCAAAGCAUAUGAUCACCUUGGCUUUUCAUAAUUAAGUGUCAUAGAAUGGAUUACCCAUCUCUUUUUUGGUGAAUGUUGGGCCAUUAAUCGUAGUUAAUGUAAGUAUUAGACAAACUGCUCGCUGUGUAAAUGGUGAUGGGCAAAUGUACUUGACAAGGUUGUCUUAAUAUGAUGGGGGUAGUUCACAGUGACCAAGAGCCUUUGCUCUCCCUCUUCAAUUACGAGCCUGAUAAUUCCUUUUAUUGUUUAGAGUUCAUUUCCUAUUUUGGGUAUUUUUUUUUUUUUUUUUCAAUUUUAGAUAUGGGAAACUGAAUUCAUCGCCUUCCCAAAUUUCCAUUGUGAUCGUAUCAGUUCUAUCAUGCAUCCACGUGAUUUGACUAGUUUCCAUCUCUAUUUCAUGUGCAUGUAUUUUGAGGUGCAGCGUCAAAUUGAAACAUUUGAUUGUGGAUGACACAAACUUGCUGCAGGUUACAUGAUUGUAUUAUAGUUCUAUUAACUCGGUGUCUUGACUCUUGAGAUUGGUAGGUCUUUCUCUAUUUAUGUGGAUUAUCAUACACUUGUCUAUGUUGUGUAUUGAAUAAAAAAUAUGCAAACAUGGUUAUGCAUCUUCAAUGAGGUUGGAAGCAUAAUCGUUGGAUGAUGAAUUGCUUAGAUUAGAGUUUUGAUUUCUUUUCUAUAGCAACUUUCUGAAAUACCUGAUAUUUCACCACAUAAAUUUGAUGUCUUCUUUGAUUGUUUUAUUUUCGUGAUUGUCUCUGUUGUUGCAUGUUAGAUAAAUGUGAGAUUUGUUAAGCUGAAAUAGUUACUCCCUCAUUAUGAAAUCUUAGCAAAGCCCGUAAGCAAUGAAUUUCAUGAGAUUGGGUUAUGCUCAUCCAUAAAUUACUUUCAUAAAGAUUUUCCUCAUUAGAUAUCAUUAUUAUUCUUGACAGGAACUGGAUAUCUUCAGCUAUGGAAAAUUCUAGAUCAUCUAGGAUCAGAAAUAUGAUGCAUGUUGGAAAAAAUUCUCUUCUGCCUCCUAAAUGUCCAUUCCCUAGCAUUUCCCCAUCAUAUGCUGAGUACAUCCCUAAUUCAGCACCUGCCCGAAAAGGUAUCCCAGCACCUAGAAAUGGCAAUUCACAACAUCAACGUGCUUCCUCUGAAAGUUUUUUGAUUGAGGAACAGCCAUCUUGGCUUGAUGAACUUCUCAAUGAGCCUGAAACACCUGCGCAUAGAGGAGGUCAUCGACGCUCAUCGAGUGAUUCCUUUGCAUAUAUUGACACAUCUAAUGUUGGAAACGUGAAUGGCAUAGAUCAAGAUGAUAAUAAGUUCAAAAAUUUAACUUCAGUGCCUUCUUGGGGAUCUCAGGACUUCGAUCUUUACAGAGAUAUUAGACAUGGUUCUUUCUAUACAGACCCAAAAUCUUCAGCCAAAACCAAGAACAGCAUGUGGGAUGCACCUGUGAAUCCAGUUGCAUCAUCUCAUGGCCGUCCUGCUCCUAAGGACGCUACCAUAGUUCAAACUGGA
rnacentral:lncRNA from 1 species